GGGCCCGCACAAGCGGUGGAGCAUGUGGUUCAAUUCGACGCAACGCGAAGAACCUUACCCAGACUUGACAUGUACUGGACUGGUGUGGAAACACAUCUUCCCUUCGGGGCCAGUGCACAGGUGCUGCAUGGCUGUCGUCAGCUCGUGUCGUGAGAUGUUGGGUUAAGUCCCGCAACGAGCGCAACCCUUGUCCUUAGUUGCUAACGAGUCAAGUCGAGCACUCUAAGGAGACUGCCGGUGGCAAACCGGAGGAAGGUGGGGAUGACGUCAAGUCCUCAUGGCCCUUACGUCUGGGGCUACACACGUGCUACAAUGGCCGGUACAAAGGGCUGCGAUACCGCGAGGUGGAGCCAAUCCCAAAAAACCGGUCUCAGUUCGGAUUGCAGUCUGCAACUCGACUGCAUGAAGUCGGAAUCGCUAGUAAUCGCUGAUCAGCAGGCAGCGGUGAAUACGUUCCCGGGCCUU
rnacentral:rRNA from 1 species